ensembl:lncRNA
CAACUGAUCCUUUAAUCAAACGAUAAUAGAAGUUGUUUGUACCUACCCUCGCGUUUCCAAAGUGAGCGCCCCUACAGGUGGCAGGGCUCAACAUAACUUGAUAUGGUGGCAGGGUACAUACACUGCAGCCUAAUAACAUUUUGUAUGUCAUGUCAGUGUCUAAGCUUUUCAGUUUUUCAUGUGGUAUCUAACACCAUUCAGUCCCGCGCUUUUCACUGUUAUUUUAUCACUUUUUAUUAACAGCACAGUAUGUUGAAAGGAAAAGCCCAGAGGAGAAACAAGACAAAACCACCAUGCACACACAUCACCGAGCAGGUGCAAGUCAAAACGACGAACAGCUUGCUGUAAUGAAAAACCCCAAGCAGUCAAAUGAUGGAUGAUCAGCUACCCUCAGCCCCCGCAGCCUCCUUCUUAGACUUUUACAGAUAGUUUCUUACAUGUAUGAGAUGCACCUUAGAGAUUAGAGGAGGAGACCACAGAUCCACUGAGAGGAGUCAGCUUUAGAUUAGAAGCUGCUGUUAUGUAGAAGAAACACUUUAACCCUG